rnacentral:rRNA from 1 species
UACGAAGGGGCUAGCGUUGCUCGGAAUCACUGGGCGUAAAGGGUGCGUAGGCGGCUCUUUAAGUCGGGGUGAAUCCUGGAGCUCAACUCCAGAACUGCCUUCGAUACUGUAGAGCUUGAGUUCGGGAGAGGUGAGUGGAAUUCCGAGUGUAGAGGUGAAAUUCGUAGAUAUUCGGAAGAACACCAGUGGCGAAGGCGACUCACUGGACAUGUAUUGACGCUGAGGUGCGAAGCGUGGAGCAACAGG